rnacentral:rRNA from 1 species
GACGAACGCUGGCGGCGUGCUUAACACAUGCAAGUCGAACGGAAAGGCCCUGCUUUUGUGGGGUGCUCGAGUGGCGAACGGGUGAGUAACACGUGAGUAACCUGCCCUUGACUUUGGGAUAACUUCAGGAAACUGGGGCUAAUACCGGAUAGGAGCUCCUGCUGCAUGGUGGGGGUUGGAAAGUUUCGGCGGUUGGGGAUGGACUCGCGGCUUAUCAGCUUGUUGGUGGGGUAGUGGCUUACCAAGGCUUUGACGGGUAGCCGGCCUGAGAGGGUGACCGGCCACAUUGGGACUGAGAUACGGCCCAGACUCCUACGGGAGGCAGCAGUGGGGAAUAUUGCACAAUGGGCGGAAGCCUGAUGCAGCAACGCCGCGUGCGGGAUGACGGCCUUCGGGUUGUAAACCGCUUUCGCCCGUGACGAAGCGUGAGUGACGGUAAUGGGUAAAGAAGCGCCGGCUAACUACGUG